rnacentral:lncRNA from 1 species
UUUAGGUUACUCAUGUGAGUAGAGUCGUGUGAAGGGAAGGGGAAGUAGGGGGCUUCUCUGCAUCUUAAACCACACAGAGGGAAGUCCCAAAAGAAUCACUGCCUGAGACUGGAGGUGCCUACAGGAAUAGAGGUCAAAGAUGCCUGAAUUUCCCGAGAGCCAAGUGGAUGUUGUGGGAAGUAGCAACACUAAAGCUGUUUUGAUGAGAUUCAACCCAAGAAGGCUGCCUGCUUGGAGAUGGGACACCACCAUUGUGUGACACCUGGAGUUGCAGUAGCUAUCUUGUGGCCUCAGGUGGCGGUCGUGAGGAUCAAGAUGCUAAAGAUGAUGAAGAUGAUGUUGGAGCCUGGGUCCUUGUUUAUGCUGUUGAGAUGACAUAGACUGCCUGUGUCUGAAAUGGUUGUGCAUAAACAAUAAAUGCUCUUUUGUCAAAAGCUAAUGUUAGCUGAGUAUUCUAUUUCUUGCAACCAAAAGCAUUUCCAAGGGAUAAAAUUGGGUAGGCUAGU